GACUGUGAGCGAUGGCUUGUGAACCUCAGUUGCUUUGCUGUUGCUGUUUCUGGCAGCAAAUGGAGUGGAGGAAAGCUUAAAUCCUUGGCCUUUAGAGUUGCGCAUUAGAGGUCAAAGCUGCCCCUUCCUAGCUGUAGAAGAGCUGGUGUGUACGCGGUGUGUAUACUUGUACCUUGAACAAGUCAGCGAAGCAAACAGCUCUGCCUGUUGGGAUGUACGAAAAUGAAGCCCGCCAUGGGGAGCCUCGAGCCGCGGAGCUGAAGGCCUGAUGUGAGCUGAGCCAUGAAGGAAAGAGGAUGUUGCAGUGAGCGUUGAUGCUGAAGACUACCUGC